rnacentral:rRNA from 1 species
GAUGAACGCUGGCGGCGUGCCUAAUACAUGCAAGUCGAGCGAACAGACGAGGAGCUUGCUCCUCUGACGUUAGCGGCGGACGGGUGAGUAACACGUGUAUAACCUACCUAUAAGACUGGGAUAACUUCGGGAAACCGGAGCUAAUACCGGAUAAUAUAUUGAACCGCAUGGUUCAAUAGUGAAAGACGGUUUUGCUGUCACUUAUAGAUGGAUCCGCGCCGCAUUAGCUAGUUGGUAAGGUAACGGCUUACCAAGGCAACGAUGCGUAGCCGACCUGAGAGGGUGAUCGGCCACACUGGAACUGAGCCACGGUCCAGACUCCUACGGGAGGCAGCAGUAGGGAAUCUUACGCAAUGGGCGAAAGCCUGACGGAGCAACGCCGAGUGAGUGAUGACGGUCUUCGGAUCGUAAAACUCUGUUAUUAGGGAAGAACAAAUGUGUAAGUAACUAUGCACGUCUUGACGGUACCUAAUCAGAAAGCCACGGCUAACUACGUG